rnacentral:rRNA from 1 species
AUUGAACGCUGGCGGCAUGCCUUACACAUGCAAGUCGAACGGCAGCACGGGUGCUUGCACCUGGUGGCGAGUGGCGAACGGGUGAGUAAUACAUCGGAACAUGUCCUGUAGUGGGGGAUAGCCCGGCGAAAGCCGGAUUAAUACCGCAUACGAUCUACGGAUGAAAGCGGGGGCCCUUCGGGCCUCGCGCUAUAGGGUUGGCCGAUGGCUGAUUAGCUAGUUGGUGGGGUAAAGGCCUACAAAGGCGACGAUCAGUAGCUGGUCUGAGAGGACGACCAGCCACACUGGGACUGAGACACGGCCCAGACUCCUACGGGAGGCAGCAGUGGGGAAUUUUGGACAAUGGGCGAAAGCCUGAUCCAGCAAUGCCGCGUGUGUGAAGAAGGCCUUCGGGUUGUAAAGCACUUUUGUCCGGAAAGAAAUCCUUGGCCCUAAUACGGUCGGGGGAUGACGGUACCGGAAGAAUAAGCACCGGCUAACUACGUG